GAUGAACGCUGGCGGCGUGCCUAAUACAUGCAAGUCGAACGAAAAGAGGAGCUUGCUUCUCUUUUAGUGGCGAACGGGUGAGUAAUACAUAAGCAACCUACCUAUUCGACCGGGAUAACAGUUGGAAACGACUGCUAAUACCGGAUAGGUGCGCGGGGGACAUCACCUGCACAUUAAAGCUGGGACACAGCACGAAUGGAUGGCCUUAUGGCGCAUUAGUUAGUUGGCGGGGUAACGGCCCACCAAGACGAUGAUGCGUAGCCGACCGGAGAGGGUGACCGGCCACACUGGGACUGAGACACGGCCCAGACUCCUACGGGAGGCAGCAGUAGGGAAUCUUCCGCAAUGGACGAAAGUCUGACGGAGCAACGCUGCGUGAGCGAUGAAGGCCUUCGGGUCGUAAAGCUCUGUUGUCAGGGAAGAACGAGUACCGGAGUCACUGCCGGUACCUUGACGGUACCUGACCAGAAAGCCACGGCUAACUACGUGCCAGCCGCCGCCGUAAGAC
rnacentral:rRNA from 1 species